rnacentral:rRNA from 1 species
CAGCAGCCACGGGAACACGGAGGGAGCUAGCGUUGUUCGGAAUUACUGGGCGUAAAGCGCACGUAGGCGGUUAUUCAAGUCAGAGGUGAAAGCCCGGGGCUCAACCCCGGAACUGCCUUUGAAACUAGAUGACUGGAAUCUUGGAGAGGUCAGUGGAAUUCCGAGUGUAGAGGUGAAAUUCGUAGAUAUUCGGAAGAACACCAGUGGCGAAGGCGACUGACUGGACAAGUAUUGACGCUGAGGUGCGAAAGCGUGGGGAGCAAACAGGAUUAGAUACCCCCGUAGUCCCUGUCUCUUAUAC